rnacentral:lncRNA from 1 species
ACUGUUAACUACAUUGUAAUAUUUGGGAAUUGAAAGAAAAUCAAGAAGAAAGAUGAAGAGAAGAAGGAUCAACACAGAGAGUUUUAGAGAGAGAGAGAGAGAUUUAGAGAGAAAUAUGUUUUUGUAUUGAUUGAUAGAAUGAAGGUUACAUAACUGUUUUUAUAAGAGAAAGCCUAACUACUCUAACCAACUUACUAACUGUACUGUAUUACAUUUGUACCCUUAAUACUCCCCCUCAAUCUCAACUGGGUUAACCCAGUUUGAGAUUGGAAAAACAUCUACAAUCACUGAACACAAUGUUGAACCAUCUGCAAUCUUGCAAUCCCACAGCAAAGUCUCAUGAGCAACUCUGUUGACACACCAAAUUCCUUAUCGAAAACCUUGGUCCUGCCAACCAUAGCCACUUCCAAAGCAGCAACCCUCUCUGCGAACUUGAAUCUUUUGACAUCACAUUGCUUUUGCCUCCAACAUGUCCAUCAUUGUUUAGCAUCACUUUGCUAUUGAGUCAAACUUCUCCAGCAUUGAUUGGCAUCACUAAACUGCGCAAUUUCAUAUUGGUUCUUUCCAAAGAAUUUCAGCCCCACAAACUGAUGUCUACACCUCUGUAGCUACUGCAAACCAAAUAGAAGAGCAGCCUCUUAUAAAAUUGUAACACAUCCUCAGGCCGGUUAUAACAAUUUCUUACGGAAUUACCCUUCGUGGGAUUUACCGUCAACAACUUCUUUUAACAAUGGCUUCGUGCCCACAAUCAAAACUAAUUACUAACGGCUUCGUGCCAACAAAUUUCAACUUCUAAUGGCUUCGUGCCAACAAUCUUCAAGUACUAAUGGCUUCAUGUCCAUUUCUAAUGGCUUUCUGCCAAUACUAAACCACACUACACUAAUGUCCACGGGAUCGCCCUUUGUGGAUUUACCAAUUCACAACACUACCUAUUCAUAACAUGGAAUUACCCUUCGUGGGAUUUACCAUUAACAACUUCUUCUACCCUUCGUGGGAUUUACCUAUUCACAUCACGGAAUUACCCUUCGUGGGAUUUACCCUUAGCAACUUAUUCAAACUUCAUCGUAUAACCGGACUUACUGUAGAUUCAUGCUAACAAUUGAGUUGGUUAGACUCGACAUUAUAGGUUGUGAUAAGAAAAAAAAAAAUAUUGCACAAACUUCUCAAUUAACUCAUGAACAAUCUUCCAUUCAGCAGUCAACACAAUCUAUGCUUCAGCAGCAUCCACAGUCAGUUCUCUGGGGUCCAAUUUCAGGAUCCUUCAGUUUCCUAUUGUUUGACAUCACCUUUGCAGGUCUUACUCUCCACCAUUCAAGACAUAAUUGCUGAAACAGUAAGGGAACACUAUAUUUUGCAAUAAAUCCAAAACCUGCAGAGAGUAAAUUACCAAGUAUGUUCCUUCUUCAUCGAUUUCCAAAACAUUUUUGAGCAAUGGGAAAGAGGAAGUCAUUAGCAAAACCGCCUCCUAAGAAUCGGAAUGACAAGCUUGAUACCGUCUUCAACUGUCCAUUUUGCAGCCAUGGCACUAGUGUUGAAUGCCGCAUUGACAUGAAGAACUUGAAUGGGAAAGCUCCUUGUAGAAUAUGCCAAGAAAGCUUCAGCACCACCAUCACAGCUUUAUCUGAACCAAUAGACGUCUACAGCGAAUGGAUUGAUGAAAGCGAAGCAGGUGCAGUCACAGCACCAAGCCAAAUAUUCCAAAUAUCACAAACACUGAUCUUGAAGCAAUGACCAAUCUUGAAUCCAAAUAUCACAAAAUAAAGAAUCUUGAAAGCAAAUAUCACAAACAACUGGAAGAACCCAGAAAAGAUUCACAAGAAAGAUGGCUCUGAUUACUUUGCUAAAAAACUUAACCUUCACAUGAAAAUUCUGAGCUGGGCAUUUCGACAAACACUUGGACUACACAAAGGUCUAAACUUUCUUCCACACCAAAGAGUAGAGCACAGAUCAAAUUCGCGGACAAUAUCGAAAGCACUGAAGAAAACAUACCAUAAAUUGAUGACCAGAAGCAGUAUAAGCCUAUAAGUGCACCAAUGCAAUGACCUUCGCAUGGAAAGAUUGCAUACUAUCAGGUACAGAACUAUGGAAUACAGCGGCAACAGCCCCAGAUCGAAAGUAGAGGGGGCAAUUAUUACGGAUUGCAGUGGCAUGACAACCCAGAGACAAUGCUCGACGGUGGUGAAGGAGCAAUGGUCGUCGUCUUCCUCUCAAAGCAUCGACACUUAUUUGACAUUCCAUCUUCUUUCGAGGUGAAGAACUUGAUGAAAAUCUGAAAAAUUCCCGAAUUCAAGAACAGAAAAUUCGAGAAUAGAAAAUCAACCUAGAAGUUAUAGGAUGAUCGCGGAAGCACCGAAGAACUUGACGGAAUUUCUGACGAAAAUCCGAAGAGAAAAUAAAACUAGAACAUGAAAUCUAAUACAAAACAGAACCACCAGAAUCAUGGCGUGAGCCUGGUAGCUCUGAUACCAUGUUAACUACAUUGUAAUAUUUGGGAAUUGAAAGAAAAUCAAGAAGAAAGAUGAAGAGAAGAAGGAUCAACACAGAGAGUUUUAGAGAGAGAGAGAGAAAUUUAGAGAGAAAUAUGUUUUUGUAUUGAUUGAUAGAAUGAAGGUUACAUAACUGUUUUUAUAAGAGAAAGCCUAACUACUCUAACCAACUUACUAACUGUACUGUAUU